rnacentral:rRNA from 1 species
AGAGUUUGAUCCUGGCUCAGGAUGAACGCUGGCGGCGUGCCUAAUACAUGCAAGUCGAACGGAGAGCGGGACUUCGGUUCACGCUUUUAGUGGCGAACGGGUGAGUAACGCGUUGGUCACCUGCCCCGAAGAGAGGGACAACCCUGGGAAACUGGGGCUAAUACCUCAUGUGAUCGUGAGAGUUAGAGUACUGACGAUGAAAGGAGCAAUCCACUUCGGGAGGGGCCUGCGUCCCAUCAGCUAGUUGGUAGGGUAAAGGCCUACCAAGGCAAAGACGGGUAGGGGACCUGAGAGGGUGACCCCCCACAAUGGAACUGAAACACGGUCCAUACACCUACGGGUGGCAGCAGUAGGGAAUAUUGCACAAUGGGCGAAAGCCUGAUGCAGCAACGCCGCGUGUGCGAUGAAGGCCUUCGGGUUGUAAAGCACUUUUCGGGGAGAUGAGAAAGGACAGUAUCCCCGGAAUAAGGCUCGGCUAACUACGUGCCAGCAGCCGCGGUAAAACGUAGGAGUCAAGCGUUAUCCGAAUUUACUGGGCGUAAAGCGCGUGCAGGCGGCUUGGAAAGUUGGAUGUGAAAGCUCCCGGCUCAACUGGGAGAGGACGUUCAAAACUACCAGGCUAGAGGACGGUAGAGGGAGUGGAAUUCCCGGUGUAGUGGUGAAAUGCGUAGAUAUCGGGAGGAACACCAGUGGCGAAGGCGGCCUCCUGGGCCGGUCCUGACGCUAAGACGCGAAAGCUAGGGGAGCAAACGGGAUUAGAAACCCCGGUAGUCCUAGCUGUAAACGAUGUAGACUUGGUGUUGGUGGUGUAAGAGCCAUCAGUGCCGAAGCAAACGCGAUAAGUCUACCGCCUGGGGAUUACGGCCGCAAGGCUAAAACUCAAAGGAAUUGACGGGGGCCCGCACAAGCAGCGGAGCGUGUGGUUUAAUUCGAUACUACGCGAAGAACCUUACCCGGGCUUGACAUACAGGUGGUAGGGAAGUGAAAGCGGACCGACCCUUCGGGGAGCCUGAACAGGUGCCGCAUGGCUGUCGUCAGCUCGUGCCGUGAGGUGUCCGGUUAAGUCCGGUAACGAGCGCAACCCUUGCCGUAUGUUACAAGUGUCAUACGGGACUGCCGGUAUAAAGCCGGAGGAAGGUGGGGAUGACGUCAAGUCAGCAUGGCCUUUAUGUCCGGGGCUACACACACGCUACAAUGGUCGGUACAAUGGGUAGCAAGACCGCGAGGUGGAGCCAAUCCCAAAAGCCGGCCUCAGUUCAGAUUGCAGGCUGCAACCCGCCUGCAUGAAGCCGGAGUUGCUAGUAACCGCGCGUCAGCCACAGUGCGGUGAAUACGUUCCCGGGCCUUGUACACACCGCCCGUCACGUCAUGGGAGCUGGCAACAUCUGAAGCCGGUAUCCUAACCGAAAGGAGGGAGCCGUCGAAGGUGGGGUUGGUGACUGGGACGAAGUCGUAACAAGGUA